rnacentral:RNase_P_RNA from 1 species
UUCGACGAGUGAAGGCGAUCGCUGGCCGGGCCUCGGCCCGACGAGAGGAAAGUCCGAGCUCCGCAGGGCAGGAUGCUGGGUAACGCCCAGUGGGGGUGACCCCGAGGAAAGUGCCACAGAAAGCAAACCGCCCUGCCGCGGCCGCACGGCCGUCGCAGGGUAAGGGUGAAAGGGUGGAGUAAGAGCCCACCGCGUCUUCGGCGACGAAGGCGGCAUGGCAAACCCCAUCCGGAGCAAGGCCACAUAGGGAGGCGAUGCCGGCGAAAGCCGGUGAGAGGGCGGCCCGCCCGAGCUUCCGGGUAGGCCGCUCGAGGGUCUCGGCAACGAGGCCCCUAGAUGAAUGAUCGCUGCCGCCGCGGGGGUGACCCCUCGGCGACACAGAACUCGGCUUACGACCCGUCGAACCGC